UGCAAAUCGGUGAGGUGAUGAGUACUAUUACUAUGGUUCAGAAGUUUAAAUCUGUUCAGGCGCUUCUUUUUCUUUUUUUCAUUACCUUGCAAAUCCUUCAAAAGGUGUGGUUUCUUCGACUAUGCUCAUCUCAUUUCUUUUAUUUUCAAGAUUCUUUUUCUGAACAUCCAAACACAACUUGGGUUUUCUAAUUUAACCGAUUCAACCCGAUUAUGGUAGAAACAUUAUAGAUCAAAAUGAUGUCGUACAGGAAAAUGGUUCAAGGAACUAUUGUCACUAUAAUAGCAAAAAAGAACCCAAGGUAAUUUGAGUCAGAAGGCUCUAAUAAGUAGACAAAAAGCAUGUGAAAACGCUUCAGUCACCAACCAUCAUGGUAGUGAUUGCCAUCAUAGGUAUCGACUUAACCAGAGACGCUAUCCGAAGAAGUUAUACGGUUCAACAUGAAUCAACAAUGAAUGGCUAAGGUAGAUGUAGGGAGCGCAAAGAUCUAAGAAAGAAACAAAAGCUUAUCUGCAUGCCAAGGUUGAACUUGAAUCCAAACUAGGGUUUGAUAUAUUUUCAGAAGAGACUUGGAUGGUUGCUCACUUUUACAUCUGUGAAUGGUUUCAUACUAUACUUGCUUCCACAUUCUUUCCUUGUUUUCUUCCGAUUCUUAUAUUUGGAGUUCCUUAUGUUGUUAUCAUUUGCAGUCAUCUUGGGAGGAUCAAAACAAAAUGAAGACAUAUUUGUAUCGAUUUGUACUUUGUUAGGGCAGGUGGAAGCUCUUAUUCAUAUUUGGUUUUUCUAGUAAUAUUGAUGCCAUGUUUCUUUCUCAUUACCCUGUUAGGCAGGUGGAAGCUCUUGGUCAUAUUUCAUUUUUCUAGUAAUAUUGAUGACCUGUUUCUUUCUCACUACCCAGAUGCCGCCACGAUGAAAAAGAUGGAAAUAGAUGUCGGGGCAUAUCUGAGCUGACAAUAUGAAGAAAAAAUUGCUAAUAUAUAAAUUAAGAGAAAGAGGAUCUUGUUCUCGUAUGUUAUUCCUUCUUCGAUUUCAUGAGAAACAUUUCUCCUUUGGAGUCCCACUUAAUAUUUUGCCUCAUUGAAGUA